UCGAAGGUGUAAGACGCACAUUUCUUUGAGUCUGUUCGCGACGCAAACAUGGUGUCAGAAGUGGCGCCCGCCGAUCUGAGGCACCACGGCUCUCGGACGUCAGACUAGCCCUGAAAUGAGUACGACGCGGGCCCACUAAACAGUGCCAGACACCGGACACGCCAACGAGUGCCUUACAAGGAAAGACCAAAUACGACGGAGAGCGGUCUUCACCUGGAUCGUCUGAAGUUGCCCGGCCCCAUCGGACACGGCGGGCUGCCUGGGUUCCCCUGCCACUCGUGACCGUUCUACUCCUGUUCCACUGCACGACCGGCUUCGCACGAAAUCACUGCUGCUAUCAUCGCUGCAACCAUCCAGUGCGCCUGCGCGCCGGACGGAGCCAUCGACCAUAUAAAUAUCGGAAGCACCUGGCGAAGCGUUUCAUUUGGCAGUGGCAGCAGCACCGAGCGAACAUAACCACUUACUCUGCUGCCGAAACUGUGCAGGUUAUCGACUGCACCAUCGCGCACGUACCUCAUAUAGAUGGCAGCGCAGGCGCUGAGCUUCGCACAUCGGAGACUACAGUAGUCAGGGCGAAGAACGGAGACCAGGACGCCUACGGUCACGAUUGGACUUGAAGACAGUGGCUGGAUCCUCGUGACGACUUCAGCGUAGCUGAGUGGUGCAGCCACCUAAACCUGUUGGGGCGGCGCAACGGCGUCCGCGUAGCCUUGGGGUGCAGUCGCACGAAGAUGUUGGCUCUGGUCUGGCAAGACCGCAGCGAUUUCCAGCUCCAUCGCGCGACGGAGCGGGGGCAUAAAAUUCGAUGCAGGCUGUUGGAGAGGCGGCGGCUGAGCGAAGGACAUCAAGGAGACCUGGCGUGCAAGUUCCUCCUGAAUGAACGCUUUCAUUUCAACAAGGAACGCUGACUGGUAGGAGAUGCUAGUCAAACCAGCAAUAAGGUCGUCGCGCGAAGAAGCGCGACCUGUCAACGAGUGCUGCCUCCGUAGCUACUCGUAUCUUUGGCAUAGAGUGAUGAUUUCUGCCACGGACUGAGGAUUCUUGGCCAGCAGCAUGUUGAAAACAUUGUCGUAUUACUUUUAAGACAUUUCUGCGUUUGUGAGGCUCCGACAUCCUCUCUGACUUUCUUGCACAAGUGCAGCAUAUCAUCCAUGUAGCUGGUAAGUGGUUCACCCGGCUGCUGUGGGCGUUCGCACAAACGCGAUCCCCCUCGCAGCUUGCGUACAGCAGGACGAUCGAACACAGUCACUAAAGAGGUCCUGCUCUAUAAUAUAUAAUUAUGUAUAUGCAUACAAGACGUAGGGUUCCA